rnacentral:rRNA from 1 species
UACGGAGGAUGCGAGCGUUAUCCGGAUUUAUUGGGUUUAAAGGGUGCGCAGGCGGGCUGUUAAGCCGGCGGUAAAAAUUCAGGGCUCAACCCUGUCGAGCCGUCGGAACUGGCAGUCUUGAGUGGGCGAGAAGUAUGCGGAAUGCGUGGUGUAGCGGUGAAAUGCAUAGAUAUCACGAAGAACCCCGAUUGCGAAGGCAGCCUGCCGCAGCGUUACUGACGCUGAAGCUCGAAAGCGCGGGUAUCGAACAGG